UACGGGGGGAGCAAGCGUUGUUCGGAUUUACUGGGCGUAAAGGGCGCGUAGGCGGUCAGCACAAGUCAGUUGUGAAAUCUCCGGGCUUAACCUGGGAACUGCAUCCGAUACUGGAUGGCUUGAAUCCGGGAGAGGGAUGCGGAAUUCCAGGUGUAGCGGUGAAAUGCGUAGAUAUCUGGAGGAACACCGGUGGCGAAGGCGGCAUCCUGGACCGGCAUUGACGCUGAGGAGCGAAAGCCAGGGGAGCAAACGGG
rnacentral:rRNA from 1 species